AGGACGAACGCUGGCGGCGUGCUUAACACAUGCAAGUCGAGCGGAAAGGCCACUUCGGUGGUACUCGAGCGGCGAACGGGUGAGUAACACGUGAGUAAUCUGCCCUCCACUUUGGGAUAGCCACCGGAAACGGUGAUUAAUACCGGAUAUGACCUUGGCCCGCAUGGGUUGUGGUGGAAAGUUUUUCGGUGGGGGAUGUGCUCGCGGCCUAUCAGCUUGAUGGUGGGGUAAUGGCCUACCAUGGCUUCGACGGGUAGCCGGCCUGAGAGGGUGACCGGCCACACUGGGACUGAGACACGGCCCAGACUCCUACGGGAGGCAGCAGUGGGAAUAUUGGACAAUGGGCGAAGCCUGAUCCAGCAACGCCGCGUGAGGGAUGACGGCCUUCGGGUUGUAAACCUCUUUCAGCACAGACGAAGACGAAAGUGACGGUAUGUGCAGAAGAACGCACCGGACCAACUACGUGCCAGCGAGCCGAC
rnacentral:rRNA from 1 species